AGCUACUGUUUUCUGGUGUCUGAUGAGAUUCGUCAUCCUUAAAGCAAAUAGGUUAUAACCUCUGUGCCAAAUUUGUGUCGGAAGAUGACAAGAUUGAUUUUGCCUCUCCAUGACAAUUUUGCUUCAUGGAAAUCUUCUCUUCCAUGGAGUAGAUCUAUGGAGAGGCACAUCAUUGUGCAAUUGGUAAAUUCGUCUGAUCGUUUUUUUAUAUGUGUUUCUGCUUUUAUUAU
rnacentral:sRNA from 1 species